rnacentral:rRNA from 1 species
UACGUAGGGGGUAAGCGUUGUCCGGAAUCAUUGGGCGUAAAGCGCGUGUAGGCGGCCCGGUAAGUCCGCUGUGAAAGUCGGGGGCUCAACCCUCGAAUGCCGGUGGAUACUGUCGGGCUAGAGUGCGGGAGAGGCGAGUGGAAUUCCUGGUGUAGCGGUGAAAUGCGCAGAUAUCAGGAAGAACACCCGUGGCGAAGGCGGUUCUCUGGGACGGUACUGACGCUGAGACGCGAAAGCGUGGGGAGCGAACAGG